GUACUCACUUCGACAGCACAUAUGCUAAAAUUGGAAUGAUACAGAGAAGAUUAGCAUGGUCCUUGUGCAAGGAUGACAUGCAUAUUCAUAAAGUGUUCCAUAUUUUU